rnacentral:rRNA from 1 species
UACGAAGGGGGCUAGCGUUGCUCGGAAUCACUGGGCGUAAAGCGCACGUAGGCGGAUUGCUACGUCAGGGGUGAAAUCCUGGAGCUCAACUCCAGAACUGCCUUUGAUACUGGCGAUCUCGAGUCCGGGAGAGGUGAGUGGAACUGCGAGUGUAGAGGUAAAAUUCGUAGAUAUUCGCAAGAACACCAGUGGCGAAGGCGGCUCACUGGCCCGGUACUGACGCUGAGGUGCGAAAGCGUGGGGAGCAAACAGG